rnacentral:rRNA from 1 species
GACGAACGCUGGCGGCGUGCCUAAUACAUGCAAGUAGAACGCACAGUUUAUACCGUAGCUUGCUACACCAUAGACUGUGAGUUGCGAACGGGUGAGUAACGCGUAGGUAACCUGCCUGGUAGCGGGGGAUAACUAUUGGAAACGAUAGCUAAUACCGCAUAAUAUUAAUUAUUGCAUGAUAAUUAAUUGAAAGGUGCAAUUGCACCACUACCAGAUGGACCUGCGUUGUAUUAGCUAGUAGGUGAGGUAACGGCUCACCUAGGCGACGAUACACAGCCGACCUGAGAGGGUGAUCGGCCACACUGGGACUGAGACACGGCCCAGACUCCUACGGGAGGCAGCAGUAGGGAAUCUUCGGCAAUGGACGAAAGUCUGACCGAGCAACGCCGCGUGAGUGAAGAAGGUUUUCGGAUCGUAAAGCUCUGUUGUAAGAGAAGAACGGGUGUGAGAGUGGAAAGUUCACACUGUGACGGUAUCUUACCAGAAAGGGACGGCUAACUACGUG